GAGCACUCGACUUCAAUGGAAGCAGAACAGCAGAUCAUUCCAAAGCAGUUUUUAGCAGAGAUCUGAUAAACAGCAGUGUCAUGUUUGGUACAGCUGGGAUGAAGAGAACACACAGACCAUGACCCCUCUGCCAGAGAAACCAACUAUCCCAAGGUACCAUGACUUGCAUGAAAAGGAGAGAAAGAAAGAGAAGAAAAUAUGGCCCAGGUUGCAUGGUACAAGCAGAAGGGUGGAGGACAUCAGCAAAAUGGCAGAGUAAGGACUUCUGGAAAUUUUCUCUCCACAAGAAAACUGGCAAAACUUGUCUGAACCAACUUUUUCAGAGUUCUGAAAAUUAACCAAAGGCAAUCUGAGGAGCAUUUAUUCAAGAAAAGUGGCUGAUGGGCAGAGAAAGACAAGUGCCAAAUGAUUUCACUCAUCUGUGGAGCAUACGAACAAAGCAAAAACUGAAGGAA